UUGUAAGUGUCUAAGGGCGCAUGGUGGAUGCCUUGGCAUCGAGAGCCGAUGAAGGACGUGGGAGGCUGCGAUAUGCCUCGGGGAGCUGUCAACCGAGCGUUGAUCCGAGGAUUUCCGAAUGGGGAAACCCAGCACGAGUUAUGUCGUGUUACCCGUGCCUGAAUAUAUAGGGUACGGGAGGUAACGCGGGGAAGUGAAACAUCUCAGUACCCGUAGGAAGAGAAAACAAUUGUGAUUCCGCUAGUAGUGGCGAGCGAACGCGGAAAAGGCUAAACCGCAUGCAUGUGAUACCGGGUAGGGGUUGUGUGUGCGGGGUUGUGGGAAUGAUCUUCUCAGCUCUACCUGGCUGGGAGGCAGUAAAAAAGUGUCGUAGUUAGCGGAAGUGGCCUGGGACGGUCUGCCGCAGACGGUGAGAGCCCGGUACGCGAAAACUCGACACCUGCCUUGAUCAAUCUCCCGAGUAGCAGCGAGCCCGUGGAAUUUGCUGUGAAUCUGCCGGGACCACCCGGUAAGCCUAAAUACUUCUCGAUGACCGAUAGCGGAUUAGUACCGUGAGGGAAUGGUGAAAAGUACCCCGGGAGGGGAGUGAAAGAGUACCUGAAACCGUGCGCCUACAAUCCGUCAGAGCCUCCUCGUGGGGUGAUGGCGUGCCUUUUGAAGAAUGAGCCUGCGAGUCAGGGACAUGUCGCGAGGUUAACCCGUGUGGGGUAGCCGCAGCGAAAGCGAGUCUGAAUAGGGCGUAUCCCCGUAAGGGGUGUAGUGGCAUGUUCUGGACCCGAAGCGGAGUGAUCUACCCAUGGCCAGGGUGAAGCGCGGGUAAGACCGCGUGGAGGCCCGAACCCACUUAGGUUGAAGACUGAGGGGAUGAGCUGUGGGUAGGGGUGAAAGGCCAAUCAAACUCCGUGAUAGCUGGUUCUCCCCGAAAUGCAUUUAGGUGCAGCGUUGCGUGGUUCACCACGGAGGUAGAGCUACUGGAUGGCCGAUGGGCCCUACUAGGUUACUGACGUCAGCCAAACUCCGAAUGCCGUGGUGUCAAGCGUGGCAGUGAGACGGCGGGGGAUAAGCUCCGUACGUCGAAAGGGAAACAGCCCAGAUCGCCGGCUAAGGCCCCAAAGCGUGUGCUAAGUGGAAAAGGAUGUGCAGUCGCAGAGACAACCAGGAGGUUGGCUUAGAAGCAGCCACCCUUGAAAGAGUGCGUAAUAGCUCACUGGUCAAGUGAUUGUGCGCCGAUAAUGUAGCGGGGCUCAAGCACACCGCCGAAGCCGCGGCACAUCUACGUAAGUAGGUGUGGGUAGGGGAGCGUCCCUCAUUCAGCGAAGCCGUCGGGUAACCGUAGGUGGAGGAUGGGGGAGUGAGAAUGCAGGCAUGAGUAGCGAAUAGGCAAGUGAGAACCUUGCCCGCCGAAAGACCAAGGGUUCCUGGGCCAGGCCAG
rnacentral:rRNA from 1 species